UACGUAGGGUGCGAGCGUUUGUCCGGAAUUAUUGGGCGUAAAGGGCUCGUAGGCGGUCUGUCGCGUCGGGAGUGAAAACUCAGGGCUUAACCCUGAGCCUGCUUCCGAUACGGGCAGACUAGAGGUAUGCAGGGGAGAACGGAAUUCCUGGUGUAGCGGUGGAAUGCGCAGAUAUCAGGAGGAACACCGGUGGCGAAGGCGGUUCUCUGGGCAUUACCUGACGCUGAGGAGCGAAAGUGUGGGGAGCGAACAGGAUUAGAACCGUACCGUACGUAAGAU
rnacentral:rRNA from 1 species